UCUUAACAGCUCCCACUUUCUGUGGUGGAGCAGUUAUGUAAUAUUGUUCUUGUACACUUUCCUGUAUUUCAGUAGCCUUAUAAAUAUGCAUGCAAAUUACAGCAAAGUGCAAUAGUUACAGUACGGUGUUCAUCAGUGGUCAAAAAGGAUUUAAACAGUGAAUUUUGAAUCGAUGUCUUCUUGUAAACUCGGAUGUAGAUUUGGAUAGCAAUUAAAUUACUAUACAACCUUGGUAUUUGUCAAAAAAACAGGGCCAUUCGGUCGGGGAUUUUUAUGUGGGUGGUGGGCUGACAUUUUGGAUUUGGACCGCAAUGAAAUCACAGACCUAACCCCUGUAAAUGUUGAAAAUAGUUUACGUCCCCAUGAGAAACAAUUACUGUCCACGGCCUUUAUAGUGAUGUCUGUAAAAAUAAAUCUGCAAGGUUCCUCAGUGAUACUCAUGCAUUGGGAUAAAGAUAAAUUCCCUGUAGAGGUCUGUGUUUGUGAUCCCACAGACAUAAUAUAAAUAAGUGAUUCAUUGUGAAGCGUAGAGGUUCAUUGAUUAUAACGAAACUUUGUGAGAUCAUGAUGAACUGAAAUGAGCUUUUUACAGAUUUUGAAGGGAGCUUUCUAGAAAUCCUUAAAAAUGACUUCAUAAUUAUUUGAAAUUAAUUACAAAUGAGAUGGGAAUGUUUUGUUUAUUGGUCUUUGAUAGUAACAAUCUUCAGGGCAUAGUCUUAAGUUGAACAAUGUUUGUUGAAGGUAGAAUAGCAGUAAAAAACAAAUUUUUUUUUUAAAUUUUUCUAGCAAGCUAGAUGUGUCAAGUUUAGAAUGGCAGUAAAUUUGCACCUUUUUGCAGCUUGCUUUCAGCGAAUAAUGCGCAUUAUGUGCAGCUAACACAUUAUUUUUAAUAUACUUCCCAGAUAUGACUGAGCACUGGACUACCACAGAGGUUUGCCAGUGGCUUGAUGAAGUGUCACUGGGACACGCGAAACCAGCAUUCAUCGAAUGAAGUAGAUGGUCCAACGCUAUUAAAAAUGACUGAAAGAAUGAGUGAACGUCUCUUCCCAAAAAUCAAAGAACAGAUACAAUUUAUGUCUGCAUUGGAAGACCUGAAAUCCCACCGUGACCUCACUGAACAUGUAAUAUCACAGACCACUCCAGUGGUUCUGCACUCCAAUACUGAAGUACGGUAUCCUACAUUUCUAAUGAGUGCCCUUGAAAAGCAGGACCCGCAGCUGAAGUCUCCUACUAAGAAUAAAUAAAAAAAUGCAUUAACUCAAGCCCUAUUUGACCAUCUUAG
rnacentral:lncRNA from 1 species